rnacentral:rRNA from 1 species
UACGGAGGGGGCUAGCGUUGUUCGGAAUUACUGGGCGUAAAGCGCACGUAGGCGGCUUUGUAAGUUAGAGGUGAAAGCCCAGGGCUUAACCCUGGAAUUGCCUUUAAGACUGCAUCGCUAGAAUCGUGGAGAGGUGAGUGGAAUUCCGAGUGUAGAGGUGAAAUUCGUAGAUAUUCGGAAAGAAACACCAGUGGCGAAGGCGACUCACUGGACAC